UGACUUAGUGUAUAAAUAUGAAUAUCAUAAUAUUUAUUACAUAACGAGAAUGUCUUACAAAAUAAAUGAUAAUAAUUUAAAUUGAACUAGAUAACUAUCUCCACGUUGCCAUAGUUAACUGGAAGACGACGCCUAGAUUUCAUCAAACUCGUCGUAGGUACCUGCUCUUCACCUAGUGUAAUUUUAGCAAGGGUGAGUUCCCAUAUCGUCUCGCUUAGGAAGUGUGGGGAAUGAUGUGAAUGAGCUCUCUUACGGUGAAGGCUCAUGUCUAGUGUAAAGCUUCCUAAAGAAAGUUGUUAAGGCUGAGCAUUGCUUUUAAAAGGUUGGUCAAAAUUUUAUUAGCAGUUACUAAGUGUAAGCAAAUACCAAACCAAUUAAAUAAUAGAUCAUAGAUGAAUAGUAGAAUCCCACAAUGCAAUGUAUAACAUGUUAAGUUUUAAUUCCAUCAUUUAUUCAUGCGAGAGUCCUGAGCCGCUCAGGACCGUGAGGACGACUGAUAUACCAGUUUUACACUCUACAGAGGUUGCAGAUCUUUACCCACAAGUGUGUUACCCAUUUGCCAAGUGGUCUCAAAUCCCGUUCAUCUGUACCGAGGAGAUAAGGCAGGGUAGCACUAUGAGGCCUUUCCAAAGUUCCACUAGUUUGAGAAAACCCGCUACAGUGUCAGGAAGAAGGGAGUAUAUGAAUGUCUCGUCCGAAAAGCUAUCACAGAUAGUUCGACCUGAGAACCUCCCUAUACUCUACAGCAACUCACUCCCUGCUUGCCAUUUUCGGGUAAGGUAAUCUCUCCCUAGCUUUACUAAUUAAUUGGUCAAGGGCGUCUCAUUCCAUCCUCGUGGUAGCACUGUUUUAUCAGGUUAAGCUCCAUGUUCCAAUUAAAAAAUGAUCUUAUCAUGAUCAAUAAAGAAUCCAUUGACAAUAAUAAUAAAGCACGAUCAUAAUUCAUAUAUAGCAUUAAUCCCAAAACUAGGUACAACAAUAGCAAGACUACCCAAUAAUUCAUUUGUAUGUAAGGUGUAGGGAAAACAAAACUAUGUAACCUAUUAGGUCCUAUCAAUUUAACCUAAGCAUGCCACAGUGAUUAUCAAGAUCAUUAUUAGGGAAAAGAACGUGAUCAAGGACACAACUUGCACUCAACUGCGAGCUUCUGCUUCGAGUUUUUGACCUACUAAGCUUUGGGUUCCUCGUUCACCUACUUGUAUACUCGCAGCAAUACAUACAAACAAUAUAUAGACAUAAAUUAACAUCACACCAAGCAUGAGAACAAUCUAGACAACAAUAUUCUACAUGUUGAGACAAAACUGCUAGAUCAAGAAUCACUAAAUUGGAGUUAAAAUGAAUUAACUAUGGAAUUUCUAAGUUCUAUGAAUUAUUUUUAUACUUAAAAUCAAUUUUGGAAUUCAUUUAUUAUUUCCCGGAAUACCUUUAGAUGGCAACUAAUAUUUUCUAGAAGUUUAGGGUUUGUUUCGCAUAAAACAGGACCUAACCGCAUUACUUCUUGAACCCUCAUGGACGACAUGUUGAUUUUAUCAGAACUUAGGGACUCUUAUGCAAAAUUGUUUGACUGACUCCUAUGCGCUCGAUUCUCGGCCCUCGGACCAGGAUCAAAUGGAUCACAUUAAACUAGGGACCCACCCGAAGCGAUAUGCUUUCCCAGUCGUAGAUUCAUGGAUGCUCAUCAUUCAACGCCUGACUCCUACCCUCUUCUUUUAAUCUGAAAUGCACAUGCCAGAUUGGAUGGCCCUGCAUCAUCGUUACUUGUCCGUGCUACACAGGUAGUGGCGCCGAGCUCGCUGAGGCGGCGACCACGCCGGUGACACCCAGAUCAAGCACUCAGGCACCCAUACAAUGCACCGAUUGACCCAACCCGACACACUCAUCUCCCUGAUUUGGACCAACCCACACAUGACUUCGAUUAUCGAGCCCUGACACCCGGCCACAAUAAUAAAUAGCCAUGCAGAACCACCCAUCUCUGGUGAGCAAUACACGGCUACCCACACCCCAAGCCCAAACCAAAACCGGUGGAUAUGACUGCGGGGACGACGCGAACAUGGUAGGGGAGGCCAUACCUGAUUUCUACACGGUUGUCGCCCAGUCCACGAUGGUCCACACCUCAACAGCUUUCUAGAACUUUGACGUGUGAUUCCCGACUGUCUGGUCGAUGAUCCCAUCGAUUGGGGAAACACCCACUCCCUCACGGCACCAUGAAGCCCUGAGGCUUAAUCCUAGACCCCGAGCGUCUUCAUAGGUGAUCGUCAACGGCGGUGGGUUUCUCUCUCGCACGAUUCAUGGUGGCGGUCAGAACACAAGCGGCGUACGAAGGGUUUGGUAGCGCCAGCGAGACUCGGGAAUUUAUAUAGCGUGCACUAAUAGAGGCCGAGGUGAUAGGGAGGUUGUUGCUUCAUCUGGCUCCAGGGAAUUGCAGCGGUGGUUUGUUGUGCGGUUGGAUCCCAUGGCAAAGAAGAUGCACAACGGCCUUGUGGUGAGAUCGACAUGCAGGCCCCAUCUGGCAGCGGCACCGGGUGAGGUCAUGCAUGAUGCCAUUGGUGACCAAGCAGGCCCACGCGCAAGUGACCCAGCGCAUCGGAGAGAUGUGGGC
rnacentral:lncRNA from 1 species